rnacentral:rRNA from 1 species
AUUGAACGCUGGCGGCAGGCCUAACACAUGCAAGUCGAACGAGUGGCGGACGGGUGAGUAAUGUCUAGGAACCUGCCCGAUGGAGGGGGAUAACUACUGGAAACGGUAGCUAAUACCGCAUACCAUCGGAUGUGCCCAGAUGGGAUUAGCUUGGAGGUGAGGUAACGGCUCACCUAGGCGACGAUCCCUAGCUGGUCUGAGAGGAGGACCAGCCACCUGGGAACUGAGACCCGGUCCAGAAUCCUACGGGAGGGAGCAGUGGUGAAUAUGGCAAAAGGGGGGAAAGCCUGAUGCAGCCAUGCCGCGGGUAUGAAGAAGGCCUUCGGGUUGUAAAGUACUUUCCGCGGGGAGGCGGUACCCGCAGAAGAAGCACCGGCUAACUCCGUGCCAGCAGCCGCGGUAAUUC